AUGGGCGACGGCGCCGCCGCCCUCCUCUCCGCCGCGGGCUACGACGGCGAGGACCGCAUCAGCGCCCUCCACGACGACCUCCUCCGCCAGAUCAUCUCGCGCCUCCCCGUCACAGACGCCGCCCGCACCGCCGUCCUCGCCUCCCGCUGGCGCCACCUAUGGCGCUCCACCCCUCUCGUCCUCGACGACGCCCACCUCCCGGAGCCCACGCGCGCCUCCUCCGUUGUCCGAGUCCUCUCCGACCACCCGGGGCCCUUCCGCGCCGUCCUCCUCACCGACUGCAGGCCAGCCUACCUGAACCGUGAGCUCGCCCACUGGCCGCGCCUCCUCGCCGCCAAGGGCACCCAGGAACUCGCCCUCUUUAACAAGUACUACGUCUACGCGCGCCUCCCCGCCGACAUCCUCCGCUCCUCCUCGCUCCAGUGCCUCUCGCUGUCCUUAUGGAGGUUCCCCGUCGCCCUCUCCCGCAGCGCCGACGCCUUUCUCCCCCACCUCCGGAAACUCGACAUGACAAGUAUCGGCAUGACCGAACAUGACCUGGAUUGCUUGCUCGCUGCCAGCCCCGUUCUGCACACCCUUACGCUGGCCCGCAAUUCGCCCAAGCGCGUCCAUCUCCGCAGCCAAAGCCUCCGGUGUGUGCUUGUUGGGGUGUCCACCAUGGAGAAGUUCGCCGUGAUGGACGCGCCACUCUUGGAGCGCCUCAUCAUUUUGGAGCCGCCUAUUGCUGGGUGCGAUUGUGUGAGGAUCAACAUUGCUUGUGCACCCAACCUGCGAGUGCUCGGGUACCUGGAGCCAAGAGUUCACAAGCUGCAGAUUGGUGACAAUGUCAUCGAGUGCAUGACAUUUCAGCCUGACACAAUGACGAGCAGAUGCGCUGUGGUUCCAAGCGUCAGGAUAUUGGCCUUGAAAGUGAAUUUCCGUAUCUUCAGCAAGGUCAAGAUGCUAGCCAGCUUCCUCGGAUGCUUCCCCAACAUCUCAAUCCCACACAUUGAGUCUGCCCUACAUGCUCCGUCCACAACUGCCUAUCAACCCACUUGGGAGCACCAUGCCAAGUUCUGGGAGGAGAUCAGUGCAGUUAGAUGCUGGAAAUCACGUGUCAAGAGGAUGGUUUUCCACAAGUUCCGAGGGAAUCAAAAAGAAUUUGAAUUCCUCAAGUUCAUCGCCAGGGAUGCGCAAGAGCUUGAGUCUUUGCUGCUUGUGCCGUUCGACGAAAAAUUUACUUCAGCGGUGGAGGUGAAUGAGAUUAUAGACAGAUGCAGGUGUCCUCAGUUUCAAGCAUGGGCCUCUAAAGUGUUGCUGGUGUCGCCCAAAGUGGACGGUGCUUGGAACUUGCAGAAAGCACUGGACCUUACCAUCGACGACCCUUUUCUUCGUUGCUGA
rnacentral:rRNA from 1 species